CCUACGGGAGGCAGCAGUGGGGAAUAUUGCGCAAUGGACGCAACCCUGAUGCAGCAACGCCGCGUGAGGGAAGAAGUAAUUCGGUAUGUAAAGCUCUAUCAGCAGGGAAGAAAAUGACGCUACCUGAGUAAGAAGACCCGGCGAACUACGGGCCAGCAGCUGCGGUAAUACGUAGGGGGCAAGCGUUAUCCGGAUUUACUGGGUGUAAAGGGGGCGUAGCCGGGGGUGCAAGUCUGGAGUGAAAGGCGGGGGCUCAACCCCCGGACUGCUCUUGAAACUGUACGGCUGGAGUGCAGGAGAGGUAAGUGGAAUUCCUAGUGUAGCGGUGAAAUGCGUAGAUAUUAGGAGGAACACCAGUGGCGAAGGCGGAUUACUGGACCGUAACUGACGGUGAGGCUCGAAAGCGUGGGGAGCAAACAGGAUUAGAUACCCGUGUAGUC
rnacentral:rRNA from 1 species